rnacentral:lncRNA from 1 species
ACGCCGUGUGGGAAUCAGCAGCGAAGCCGGCUGAUGCCUUGGGUUGGUGUCUCCCUUCUCCAGCCUCCACAGCCCUGCACUGACCUGUGACAUCCCCUGCCCUUGGGGAGUGAGCACUGGAGAGGAAGGACUGUCCACUCCUCAUCUUUGUGCCCCCCAGCACAGCCCUGGC